GCCAGCGAUGGCCGCUUGCGAGGUGGCUGCAUGGUUGUCGUCAGCUCGUGCCGUGAGGUGUCGGGUUAAGUCCCACUAACGAGCGCAACCCCACUGCUAGUUGCCAGCGGGUCGAUGCCGGGGACGUCUAGCGGGAACUGCCAGCGUAAGCUGCGAGGAAGGUGGGGAGUGACGUCAAAUCAGCACGGCCCUUACGUCCAGGGCUACACACGUGUUACAAUGGCCAGUACAGAGGGCAGCCACCCCGCGAGGGGGCGCUAAUCCUAAAAGCUGGUCCCAGUUCGGAUCGGAGUCUGCAACCCGACUCCGUGAAGCUGGAUUCGCUAGUAAUCGCGCAUCAGCCACGGCGCGGUGAAUACGUUCCCGGGCCUU
rnacentral:rRNA from 1 species